UACAGGGGGUGCAAACGUUGCUCGGAAUCAUUGGGCGUAAAGCGCACGUAGGCGGUUCGUUAUGUCGGAUGUGAAAGCCCUUGGCUUAACCGAGGAAGUGCAUCCGAAACUGGCGAGCUAGAGUACGAAAGAGGAUCGCGGAAUUCCCGGUGUAGAGGUGAAAUUCGUAGAUAUUCGCAAGAACACCAGUGGCGAAGGCGGCUCACUGGCCCGAUACUGACGCUGAGGCACGAAAGCGUGGGGAGCAAACAGGG
rnacentral:rRNA from 1 species